rnacentral:tRNA from 1 species
CUGCCCGUGGCUUAGCCCGGAUAGAGCAACGGACUCCGACUCCGUAGAUCGCAGGUUCGAAUCCUGUCGGGCAGGCCA